AUUGAACGCUGGCGGAAUGCUUUACACAUGCAAGUCGAGCGGCAGCGCGGGGGCAACCCUGGCGGCGAGCGGCGAACGGGUGAGUAGCAUAUCGGAACGUACCCAGUCGUGGGGGAUAACUAUCCGAAAGGAUAGCUAAUACCGCAUACGUCCUGAGGGAGAAAGCGGGGGAUCGCAAGACCUCGCGCGAUUGGAGCGGCCGAUAUCGGAUUAGCUAGUUGGUGGGGUAAAGGCUCACCAAGGCGACGAUCCGUAGCGGGUCUGAGAGGACGACCCGCCACACUGGAACUGAGACACGGUCCAGACUCCUAUGGGAGGCAGCAGUGGGGAAUUUUGGACAAUGGGGGCAACCCUGAUCCAGCCAUUCCGCGUGAGUGAAGAAGGCCUCGGUU
rnacentral:rRNA from 1 species